AUUGAACGCUGGCGGCAGGCCUAACACAUGCAAGUCGAGCGGAUGAAGGGAGCCUGCUCCUGGAUUCAGCGGCGGACGGGUGAGUAAUGCCUAGGAAUCUGCCUGGUAGUGGGGGAUAACGUCCGGAAACGGGCGCUAAUACCGCAUACGUCCUGAGGGAGAAAGUGGGGGAUCUUCGGACCUCACGCUAUCAGAUGAGCCUAGGUCGGAUUAGCUAGUUGGUGGGGUAAAGGCCUACCAAGGCGACGAUCCGUAACUGGUCUGAGAGGAUGAUCAGUCACACUGGAACUGAGACACGGUCCAGACUCCUACGGGAGGCAGCAGUGGGGAAUAUUGGACAAUGGGCGAAAGCCUGAUCCAGCCAUGCCGCGUGUGUGAAGAAGGUCUUCGGAUUGUAAAGCACUUUAAGUUGUGAGGAAGGGCAGUAAGUUAAUACCUUGCUGUUUUGACGUUACCAACAGAAUAAGCACCGGCUAACUUCGUG
rnacentral:rRNA from 1 species